GAGACCAACCCCUUCUUGGAGGCUAUAAAAGAGAGACUCGGAAUUCAUUUGUGUUAUGGUAAGUUGGAUAUUUGAAAUUGCUUCUUAUUCUUGGAGGAGAUUGCUCUUCUUAGGGUUUGUGAGGACGGAAUCCCUUGAAGGCGACACUCUCCAAGUUGAGAGACACAAUUUGGAGGGUUCUUGGUGUUAUCAUUCAGGAAACAUAGAUGAGCUGAUUGGCGAUUCAGAUUUUCAGUUAUUUGUGGAGUUUUCAUUGCAUGUUUGAUUUAGAGAGUUGAUUUAGGAAGUUAUUGAGGAGUUUAUUUUUUGUUCAUGUUCUUUUGGCUGGGCUGUACUCUCUCAUAUGCUGGCCUUACCUCUUGUGAAGGGCCGUACACUUUGUUGGUUGGGUGGUUAGGGUUUGAGAAGUCUCAUGUUGCUGUUUAGAGGCGUUUUGGACCUGCAAUACCUUGCUUAACAUCUGCGUGGGUUUUGGUUGAGACUUUGGAGGGUGGCGUCCACUUUUGGCACAUCUAGUUUGCAUAUUUUGUGAACAGUUCAGUGUAUUCAUUGCUGCAUUUUGUGGCUUGACCUGCUUCAGCUGUCUACUUGCCUGGUUCAGCUACUUGGUUGCUUGCUGGAGCUGCCUGUGUGUCUGCUAGUGCUGCUUGAGUGUAUGUCUAAGCAAGCUGUGUGCUUACUUGUCCUUUUGUCAGCAGCUGAAUCAGAAUUUUUGCUUAGUCAGCAACUCUUGCCACAUUUUAAAAAGGAGGGCCCACGUUUCUUUUGGAAUCGAAUUAUUUUUUCCUAAUGCAUGGUCGCUAAGUAUCAUUGUGGAAAGCAUAUCUUUUUGAAUACGUAGUCUGACUGCUGAUCAGAACCGUUAUCUUAUUGAAAUCGUAUUUACUCCUUGUGGA